rnacentral:rRNA from 1 species
AGAUUGAACGCUGGCGGCAUGCCUUACACAUGCAAGUCGAACGGCAGCACGGGGGCAACCCUGGUGGCGAGUGGCGAACGGGUGAGUAAUGCAUCGGAACGUGCCCAGUAGUGGGGGAUAACUAGUCGAAAGAUUAGCUAAUACCGCAUACGACCUAUGGGUGAAAGCGGGGGAUUCGCAAGAACCUCGCGCUAUCGGAGCGGCCGAUGUCUGAUUAGCUAAUUGCGGGUAAAAGCCCACCAAGGCUUCGAUCAGUAGCUGGUCUGAGAGGACGACCAGCCACACUGGGACUGAGACACGGCCCAGACUCCUACGGAGCAGCAGUGGGAAUUUGGACAAUGGGCGCAAGCCUGAUCCAGCCAUGCCGCGUGCGGGAAGAAGGCCUUGGUUGUAAACCGCUUUUGGCUAGGAACGAACGGCGACGAGCGAAUAUCUACGCGUUAAUCGACGUACCUGCAGAAUAACGCAACCGGCUAACUACGUGACCAGCA